AGACCGUGAUGAGGACACUUUCUUAGUAGCUCCAUGAACCUCUCCUAAGUUUCAUAUAAGGAUUCCCCAUCCUCUUGUGAAUAUGUAUUAAUUUCAGUCAUUAAUUU
rnacentral:snoRNA from 1 species